rnacentral:lncRNA from 1 species
UUGUUCUUCAUACAAUAACAAUCCCUAUCUUUCUUCUUCUUAGACAAGUAGGCUGAGCCUCAAAUACUGCAAUCAACAACGCUAAAAAUGCCUAAGAUUCAACACCCCUCAAAGUAGUAUUGGAGCUGCCAUUUCGAACAUCCAGCUUAUAGCCAGCACCAUAGGUGGCAUCAACAACACCAGUCAGUGCCUGGCACGCCAUUGCCAUUCCCUUCUACUCUAUCCACUUUAUGGGGAUGGUGGUUUCCUUUCACUCCUCUAAAACCAGGAGGUCCACAUGCAGUUUGAACAUGCUUUAGAUUUGGAUCUUUCCGAGGUCGGCCAAGUCCCUACUUCACUGGUAGGACUGAAGGAGGCACCAACAUUGUCGCCUUGGAUAACUUGAUUCACUUUCAGAAAUUACCAUUUACAAUAUUGAAGCAAUUCUUUUGGUAGAAACUGGUUUUAGGCACGUGUAAGUAAUGUGCAAGGCACGUGUUGUAACUGUAGUGAAGCAUUCAAUAGUAUUGAUAUUGUGAGUGAUUUGUGUAUGAUAUUAAUAUUUGUAAAAUCUUACUAAAAGAAAAUUUGGGAAUUUAGUAGAAUGAAUUGUAUAGGCUUCAUAGCUAUAAAUACGGGAGGGUAGGUCCAUUUUUUCAGGCACAAAUUAGUGAGAAAAUGGGAGGGAGAGGCACCCUCUGGGAAACUGACCAAACAUAUACACAAAACCACAAAAAUACAGCAAUUGCAAUCUGAUUAUUAUCAGAUAAUUAAAGCCUUUACCUUUGAAGAGUGUAUAAGAGAUCACGUAGAGAUUAUUAUACACAACAAAGCUUGAUUAGAGUGAGAGUAAUUUUAAGAAGGUACAGGGAAAGAGUGAGAACUAAUGGCAAGAGUUUCCAGAGGAUAGAAGGGCAUUAAAGAUAUUUUCACAAUUAUGAAUAAAGUUAACGAUGCAAUUGCUACAUGUCAAACUUUGAGUGAUUAAGUGACGAGGGCGUAAACAAACUAAUGAUAUUUUCUCAAUUAUGAGCAAAGUUAAGGAUGCUACUGCUAUAUGACAAAAUAUCUGUGGUAAAGUGACCAGAAAGUUAACAGGAAUUAAACUAAGAAUAUGAUAUCACUUUUUUUCUCAAUUAUGGGCGAAGUUAAUGGCGCUCUAUCUUCUUCUUAGAUAAAUAGGCGAAGACUCAAAUGCUGAAAUCACCAAUGCUAAAAAAGCCUAAAUAUCAAUCAACAUGCAGCAAAAAAUUCUAACUAAAAAUGCCAAAAUUUUUCAUCAACAUUUGAUGAUCUCCCCAGAAACUGCACCAAGAAAUGGUAGUAUAUCUUAUUAACAGGAAAAAGGAAUACCUCACAAGAACAAAGCACUGAUUUUUUACAAUAUUGAAGAAAUUCUUUUAGUAGAAAAAAGCAAUAAAAUAAACAUGUGAAAAGGAUAAAAUUGCAUAUAAGAUGAAGCUGAAGAGAAAUUAAUAACCAAUUAAAAAUGAGAGGUGAGAAUUAUUUCAAGACUUUACCUUGCGAAGAGUAUACUAGAUUGGACAGAAAUAUUAUUUUGAUAAAGCUUAAGUAGAGGGAGAGAGUAAAUUUAAGAAACUUGGAAUAGAGGGCUACAGAGUGUAGAUAGAUAGAGAGAGAGAGAGAGAGAGAGAGAGAGAGAGAGAGAG